rnacentral:rRNA from 1 species
GAUGAACGCUGGCGGCGUGCCUAAUACAUGCAAGUCGAGCGAACAGACGAGGAGCUUGCUCCUUUGACGUUAGCGGCGGACGGGUGAGUAACACGUGGGUAACCUACCUAUAAGACUGGGAUAACUUCGGGAAACCGGAGCUAAUACCGGAUAAUAUUUCGAACCGCAUGGUUCGAUAGUGAAAGAUGGCUUUGCUAUCACUUAUAGAUGGACCUGCGCCGUAUUAGCUAGUUGGUAAGGUAACGGCUUACCAAGGCAACGAUACGUAGCCGACCUGAGAGGGUGAUCGGCCACACUGGAACUGAGACACGGUCCAGACUCCUACGGGAGGCAGCAGUAGGGAAUCUUCCGCAAUGGGCGAAAGUCUGACGGAGCAACGCCGCGUGAGUGAUGAAGGUCUUCGGAUCGUAAAACUCUGUUAUUAGGGAAGAACAAACGUGUAAGUAACUGUGCACGUCUUGACGGUACCUAAUCAGAAAGCCACGGCUAACUACGUGCCAGCAGCCGCGGUAGUACGUAGGUGGCAAGCGUUAUCCGGAAUUAUUGGGCGUAAAGCGCGCGUAGGCGGUUUUUUAAGUCUGAUGUGAAAGCCCACGGCUCAACCGUGGAGGGUCAUUGGAAACUGGAAAACUUGAGUGCAGAAGAGGAAAGUGGAAUUCCAUGUGUAGCGGUGAAAUGCGCAGAGAUAUGGAGGAACACCAGUGGCGAAGGCGACUUUCUGGUCUGUAACUGACGCUGAUGUGCGAAAGCGUGGGGAUCAAACAGGAUUAGAUACCCUGGUAGUCCACGCCGUAAACGAUGAGUGCUAAGUGUUAGGGGGUUUCCGCCCCUUAGUGCUGCAGCUAACGCAUUAAGCACUCCGCCUGGGGAGUACGACCGCAAGGUUGAAACUCAAAGGAAUUGACGGGGACCCGCACAAGCGGUGGAGCAUGUGGUUUAAUUCGAAGCAACGCGAAGAACCUUACCAAAUCUUGACAUCCUUUGCUCCUUCUAGAGAUAGAAGUUUCCCCUUCGGGGGACAAAGUGACAGGUGGUGCAUGGUUGUCGUCAGCUCGUGUCGUGAGAUGUUGGGUUAAGUCCCGCAACGAGCGCAACCCUUAAGCUUAGUUGCCAUCAUUAAGUUGGGCACUCUAAGUUGACUGCCGGUGACAAACCGGAGGAAGGUGGGGAUGACGUCAAAUCAUCAUGCCCCUUAUGAUUUGGGCUACACACGUGCUACAAUGGACAAUACAAAGGGCAGCGAAACCGCGAGGUCAAGCAAAUCCCAUAAAGUUGUUCUCAGUUCGGAUUGUAGUCUGCAACUCGACUACAUGAAGCUGGAAUCGCUAGUAAUCGUAGAUCAGCAUGCUACGGUGAAUACGUUCCCGGGUCU